UACAGAGACUGCGAGCGUUAUUCGGAUUCACUGGGCGUAAAGGGUGCGCAGGCGGCCGAGUGUGUGAGGCGUGAAAGCCCGGGGCUUAACCCCGGAAUUGCACCUCAAACUACACGGCUAGAGCAUUGGAGAGGGUAGCAGAAUUCAUGGUGUAGCAGUGAAAUGCGUAGAUAUCAUGAGGAAUACCAGAGGCGAAGGCGGUUACCUGGACAAUUGCUGACGCUCAGGCACGAAAGCGUGGGGAGCAAAAGGG
rnacentral:rRNA from 1 species